GGACCAAUGAUGAUCCCCAAUCAAACAUUCCUUGGAAACCUGAACAAAAUUAGUGAAAACUCAGUACUGCCACUUUAGUUGAUACUGUGAUAU